AUACGUAGGGGGCGAGCGUUGUCCGGAAUCAUUGGGCGUAAAGGGCGUCUAGGCGGCCGGGUCAGUCUGAUGUGAAAUCGCUCGGCUCAACCGAGCAACUGCAUCAGAUACUGCCUGGCUUGAGUACGGGAGAGGGAAGUGGAAUGAGCAGUGUAGCGGUGAAAUGCUUAGAUAUUGCUCAGAACACCGGUGGCGAAGGCGGCUUCCUGGCCCGAUACUGACGCUGAAGCGCGAAAGCUAGGGGAGCGAACGGGAUUAGAAACCCUAGUAGUCC
rnacentral:rRNA from 1 species